rnacentral:tRNA from 1 species
CUUUUUGUAUUAUAAAGGAUUUUGAAAGUCCUUUUUGGAAAAAUUUUCCGCUAAGUGA